rnacentral:rRNA from 1 species
GACGAACGCUGGCGGCGUGCCUAAUACAUGCAAGUAGAACGCACAGUUUAUACCGUAGCUUGCUCCACCAUAAACUGUGAGUUGCGAACGGGUGAGUAACGCGUAGGUAACCUGCCUGGUAGCGGGGGAUAACUAUUGGAAACGAUAGCUAAUACCGCAUAAUAUUGAUUAUUGCAUGAUAAUUGAUUGAAAGAUGCUAUUGCAUCACUACCAGAUGGACCUGCGUUGUAUUAGCUAGUAGGUGAGGUAACGGCUCACCUAGGCGACGAUACAUAGCCGACCUGAGAGGGUGAUCGGCCACACUGGGACUGAGACACGGCCCAGACUCCUACGGGAGGCAGCAGUAGGGAAUCUUCGGCAAUAGACGAAAGUCUGACCGAGCAACGCCGCGUGAGUGAAGAAGGUUUUCGGAUCGUAAAGCUCUGUUGUAAGAGAAGAACGGGUGUGAGAGUGGAAAGUUCACACUGUGACGGUAUCUUACCAGAAAGGGACGGCUAACUACGUG